rnacentral:lncRNA from 1 species
AUAUCUGAAGAUGAGAGUGAGAAUGGUAAAGAUGCUAAUUAUAACCACAUCAUUCACCAACCACACAUCAGUGUAGAUGCAGUCAAGAAGCUACCUAAAGACUUCUGUGUGAUACAGGAAACCAAGAGUGAGAAUGUUAGUACAGAGCACGUGGACUUCCAGCUGGCUCGUAAACAGUGGCGGGAAAUGGAGGAACAAACCAAAAACAAGGUAGUCUUACCUACAACCAAGCAGCUGAGCUUCCACGGCAGCCACAGCUUCAUGUACACUCCAGUACGCAACAUUGACAGACCUCACAAGAAAGCACAUGAUCUGGAAAACUUAGAUCUGGUUGGGGAGUAUCCUCACACCCAAUUUAGCCCCUGCUCAGAGGAUUCUGGUUUGGAUGAUUCCAGUUACAGGUCCCCUUAUGAUGACCAAGAAACAGUUGAAAGGGAUAUUCGCAUAUCACUGGAGAGGGAAGAAAAUUUCAAAAGGGAGAGGGGCCUUUCCAGGAUGGGCAAAUCCACUGAUUGUGCACCAUCAAGAAGUAUUCCUAGAUCAAUAAGCACUCCAUUGACGCCGUCAUUCAUCAUCACCUCCUCACCUACCAAGGAACCAUCGAAACAUGAAAUGUCAGCGAACAAUGUAAUUAUUCUGGACCCUAGCAAUGAUUUUACCUCUAGUCCCAGGCAUGUUAAAGACAACAUGAAAGCUCAGUCUAGUGAGUGGCACUCCAAAGAGACCAGCUCCAGUGUCAUCAUCCUGGAGACGUCCAAUUUGAUUAUUCGCAGUGCCUCUGAGUUCUCUCUCAGUAAAGCAUGUGAGCAGCCCCAGGAAAAAAUGUUCCUGAACAACCCAUUUUUCAAACUACGUUCAAGAAGCACAAUAUCCUUGGUGGAUGAAGAGAUCAAGAUGGUAAAGCAGAGGGAGGAUGAGCUAAAAAAGGAGAGGGAAAAUCUGUAUGCCAAAGACAGGUUCAGUGCAGAAAGAGUAUUGUCAAAUCGCAUGGAAACGUUGACCUUUAAUAACUCAGUUGAUGUUCCUGUGAAAUGCAAGUCGUCUCCAUCUUCACCAAUGAAAACCACCCACAGGAUGGAUCGUGCUGCUCUAUCGUGUGAUCACAGAUUUCCAGAGAUCCACACUGGAGGAAGACGCAAGAGUGCCAUGGCUUUGCGCUGGGAGGCGGGCGAGUUUACAAAGAAUGAAUGAAAUGGAACAAGUCAAAGGUUCACUGCAGUGUUAUUCUCAUUCAAGUUAGAUGCACUGUUAAAAUGGUUUGUUUCAUGUUGUGACAUAACCUAAAUUCUGCUUCAUGUGAUGCUUGGGCAAAGAGUGUUUAUUCUUACGUUAGUCUGAACAAAGUUUAUUGAGCACUGAUGGCGGAUCUGAUAACGCUCAGUUCUGGCCAAGAGGUGCAUAUUAUGUUUGUGAAUACCCAUACGCAUUUGACAUUUGUUCAUUACUUGUGAAUAAAUACUCACAUUUGCUGCUGUUUUAAGGUCUUAAUAAGCUACAAAAUCCGUAAUUGUUUUAGUAAAGUGAUGCUUCUUAGACAACUAAAAGCAGUGCCAACACACUUUGUAUUUAAACCCUAAACAACUUUUUUUUCUUCUUUUUUUUUUUGGCUUGUGAAGAAGCACAGAAGGUCCUAAAACUGACAAACAGUGCAGUAAAAUAAGAACAGACCUCAGCAGUUUGAUAUGGCAUUGAGUGUAUGUCCUGUUAAUGCACUACAGUGUUUAGUGGAUCCUGGUCUUUUGCUGAAGAUUUCUUUCUGUGGGAAUAGAUUGGAUAAAGGAUCGUUUCAUUGUUUGUGCCAUGUCAGAUGACUGAUUGGAGCUAGUCAAUAUUAAUUCUCCAAUAAUCUGAGUGUAAAACUGUAAAUGGACUGCAUUUAUAGAGCUCUGUACCUUAAUUAACCACUCUAAGAAUGUGACCCUAAAAUGUCCUCUGCUGGGAGGAAAGUACAUCAAUUGUUCUGUUGUUGGUGGCAAGAAUGAACAUAGCAGGCUUCAUAUAGUCCCAGGCUCUCAGGAUCUUAAGGCCCUGGGCAUUACUCUGUCCCAACAACAAGAGGAACUCACGGUAUGGUUAAUGCUUCAUAUGGCUAUGGUUACCAUCUGUUUGCCUUUCUAUUGUUCUGUCGUUACAGUUGAUGUGCUUUUCUGCUUUAACACAACUGAAUUCUUCAAAAAGGCUUCAAUAUGUUUCUGUUUCUGUUGUCAAACAAAGGAACACGCAUGAAAAACAAGAGACUAGUUAAAACCAGCAGCAGUCCCUUUAAUGCCAUUUUCUUUCUUGCUGCUGAAAUCAUCAUAACAGCAAUGUUGUGUGGCAAAAACCAGAAGGUGUACAUACACGGACACCUUUGCCUCAGUUUUAUAUGAUGAAUAGACUCGUCUGCCUUUAAAAACAUUAUGAAAUUAGACACAAAAAAACUGGCAGUGUCAAAGGAUGAAACGAGAAACAAAAUCAUAAAACCUGGAAGCAAAACAAGGGCUCUCUGAGAACGAUGACACAAUCUGAACCAAUCCUUCAUAUAAAGGUUUGCUGACAGUGAAAGUGUUUGUUCUUUCUGAGACGCCCCUGACAAAUGUAUAAUACUGUCCACUUUUUGCUAACCUGUGAGACAUUAUACAUGUCAAUCAGAUUUUUGAUGUUAUUGUAUGUCUUGAUAAUGAAAAUGUGACAUUGGUUGGUGUAUAUUAGCUGUAUUUUCAUAUUAUGCUGUUAGUUGCAACUGAAACUUUAAGCUGGAUGAACAUAAAGGAAUAUCCAUGCAUUCAACUGAAACAACAUAGACAUCACUUAGACAAUCUUAUUAUAAAUGUCAAGAUUUUUAUGAGACUACGUAUAAAUUUAUAAUUCCUUUUCAAGCCUCCCUGUGGAGGGUCAAUGAAGCCAUGGCCUAGCUAUAAAUUACACAGGGUAAUUAAAGGUUACUCUAAUAAUUAACAACUUAUUUAUUUAUUGUUAGAGUGGGUUCCUUUACAUGAAGAAAUACACUGAUGGUUUUUUAACAAACAUUUCAGCUUCUCUGAAAAACAAUUUAUACAAAUUCCGUACUUUCACCUUAGAGUCUAUUGAUCCUAAACAGUUUGUUUUUCAUUUCGAAUUUGUAUGCUUAAUUGCUGAAGUAUAGCUUACAAAACUUAAGGAUUGCUUGCUGAUGUUUAAACAUUUUGUGUACAGCCCCCUCUGCCGCUUUCAGGGGCUAACUGGGGCUCUAUUUGCAGGGGAUUUUCACUGUGUAUUCCUCAUGCAAAAAUAAAUAAAGCUAUAUAUGAUAUAUAAGGA